CUUUGAGAGAGAGUUCAAGAGGGCGUGAAACCGCUGAGAAGGAAACGGAUAGAGUUGACGAAACUCGGUGGCAUUCAGCCGAUACGGUGCCGAUGCCCGAUUGUCCUUUUUUCACCUUCUGAAUAAGGGGGUGGGGACGGUUUGGUUGCGUCGGAACUGUGAUCGGUGUAUUUGCUCUGGGUGUGCGCUGAGAGGUUCGUUACGGUAUGCUGACACCAUUGCUAAAGAGGACCGUGCCCAUCUGGGUGUGGAAACCUUUGGCGGGUUGAGGCGUAUCCGUGGUGAACUGCCGGUUAGUUCUGGUUGUGUUGCCUCGCUGGUUUGCGCAACGGCUGCUACGUGGCUAGUGUGACUGUUGAGCGGUCGCUUGCGACUUGCUUACAGUUGACGUUGGCUCGUUGGUGGUUUUUGGUUGCGUUGGGCUAAUACAUCUCGGUGUAAAAGUCGAUCACCUAUCCGACCCGUCUUGAAACACGGACCAAGGAGUCUAGCAUAUACGCGAGUCAUUGGGUGGUAAACUCAAAGGCGUAAUGAAAGUAAAGAUCGCUUUAGUGCGGUUGAUAUGGGAUCCGUAUAGUUUCUGACUGUACGGCACACCAUAGCCCCGUCCCAGUUGCUUGCAAUAGGGCGGAGGUAGAGCGUAUACGCUGGGACCCGAAAGAUGGUGAACUAUGCCUGAGCAGGAUGAAGCCAGAGGAAACUCUGGUGGAGGUCCGAAGUGGUUCUGACGUGCAAAUCGAU
rnacentral:rRNA from 1 species